rnacentral:rRNA from 1 species
AUGCCCGCAAAAGAUUUGGAGGAAAUUAAGAAGCAGAUUAAGGAGUUAUUGGAUAAAGGCUAUAUUCGCCCAAGUUCGUCACCUUGGGGAUCACCAGUACUUCUAGUGGAGAAGAAAGAUGGAUCGUUGAGGAUGGUUCUUGAUUAUUGUGGAUUGAAUGAAGUGACCAUCAAAAACAAGUACCCACUGCCGAUGAUCAAUGAUUUGUUUGACCGAUUACAAGGAGCUAAAGUAUUUUCCAAGAUCGAUCUACGAUCAGGAUACCAUCAGUUAAAGAUUCGAGAGCAGGAUAUACCUAAGACGGCUUUUACCACCAGAUAUGGACUGUAUGAGUAUACCGUUAUGUCAUUUGGUCUGACUAACGCACCUGCCUAUUUCAUGAACCUGAUGAACAAAGUGUUUAUGGAGUAUUUGGACAAGUUCGUCGUGGUGUUCAUUGAUGAUAUUUUAGUCUUUUCCAAGAAUGAGGAAGAGCAUGAGGAGCAUUUGCGAUUGGUACUGGAGAAGCUCAGAGAACAUCAGUUAUAUGCCAAGUUCAGCAAAUGUGAAUUUUGG